UGCUGAUGUCAUUAGCAGGUGAGGAGGAGCAUGAUGUCACUAGCAGGUGUGUAGAUGAUGCUGAUGUCAUUAGCAGGUGUGUAGAUGAUGCUGAUGCCACUAGCAGGUGAGGAGGAGCAUGAUUUCACUAGCAGGUGUGUAGAUGAUGCUGAUGCCACUAGCAGGUGAGGAGGAGCAUGAUGUCACUAGCAGGUCUGUAGACGAUGCUGAUGUCACUAGCAGGUGUGUAGACGAUGCUGAUGUCACUAGCACGUGUGUAGACGAUGCUGAUGUCACUAGCAGGUGAGUAGACGAUGCUGAUGUCACUAGCAGGUGAGGAAGAGCAUGAUGUCACUAGCAGGUGAGGAGGAGCAUGAUGUCACUGGCAGGUGAGUUGAUGAUGCCGAUGUCA